AUUGAACGCUGGCGGCAGGCCUAACACAUGCAAGUCGGGCGCGCGGUGGACGUGUGAGUAAUGUAUGGGGAUCUGCCUGAUGGCGGGGGAUAACUACUGGAAACUGUAGCUAAUACCGCAUACCAUCACAUGAACCCAUAUGGGAUUAGCUUGUAGGUGAGGUAACGGCUCACCUAGGCGACGAUCCCUAGCUGGUCUGAGAGGAUGAUCAGCAAAACUGGGACGGAGAAACGGCCCAGACUCUUACGGGAGGCAGCAGUGGGGAAUAUUGCAAAAUGGGCGCAAGCCUGAUGCAGCAAUGCCGGGUGUAUGAAGAAGGGCUUCGGGGUGUAAAGUACUUUCAGUCGGGAGGCGUUAACGACAGAAGAAGCACCGGCUAACUACGUGCCAGCCGCCGCGGUAAUAC
rnacentral:rRNA from 1 species